rnacentral:lncRNA from 1 species
AUGUCCCCAUGUCCUCGUCCCCAACACCAAGGGGAUUUUGGUGUCACUUUUUGGGCACAUAUGGGACCCCCAUUGCCGAGGGACCCAGUGUCCUUGUCCCCAAUCCCAAGGGGAUUUUGGUGUCACCUUUGGGGGACAGAAGGGACCCCCCACAUCCAUGAACCCCAUGGCCAAGAGGACCCAGUGUCCACGUCCUCAUGUCCUUGUCCCCAACACCAAGCGGAUUUUGGUGUCACUUUUGGGGACAGAAGGGACCCCCAUGUCCAUAUCCCCCAUGUCCAUAUCCCCCAUGUCCAUGACCUCAUGGCUGAGGGACCCAGUGUCCAUGUCCCCAACGCCAUGGGGACCUUGGUGUCACUUUUGGGGGACAGAAGGGACCCCCCUGUUCAUGACCCCCAUGACCACGACCCCACAGCCAAGAGAACCCAGUGUCCACGUCCCCCUGUCCAUGUCCCCCACGACCAUGGCCAAGAGGACCCAGUGUCCACGUCCCCAGGGCCAAGGGGAACUCGGUGUCACUUCUGGGGGGACAGAAGGGACCCCCAAGUCCAUGACCCCCAUGGCCAAGAGGAGCCAGUGCCCACGUCCCCACGUCCUUGUCCCCAACACCAAGCAGAUUUCGGUGUCACUUUUUGGGCACAGAUGGGACCCCCGUGGCCAAGGGACCCAGUGUGCACAUCCCCACGUCCUCGUCCCCAACACCAAGGGGAUUUUGGUGUCACUUUCGGGGGACAGAAGGGACCCCCCCUGUCCAUGACCCCCAUGACCACGACCCCACAGCCAAGAGAACCCAGUGUCCACAUCCCCACGUCCUUGUCCCCAACACCAAGCGGAUUUUGGUGUCACUUUUUGGGUACAGAUGGGACCCCCAUGGCCAAGGGACCCAGUGUCCACGUCCCCACGUCUUCGUCCCCAAAACCAAGAGGAUUUUGGUGUCAUUUUCUGGGCACAGAAGGGACCCCUACAUCCAUGCCCCCGCGCCCAAGGUCCAGCACUGCCACCUCUGCGCCCCAGCGCCCACCUCCGCAUCCCCCCCCCCACGUCCCCGCAUCCCCAGCGCGGAGGGGACAUCGCUGCCACCCGGGCACCGCUGACACCGUGUUCCGGGGGGAGGCGUCGCCCUCGGGGCUUU